UAAUAAUAAUUAUUAUUAUUAUAUUGGGGAGAGAGUUAGAAAAUUACCUAUCAGGUACAAUGUUUACUAUUUGGGUAAUGGCUAUACUAGAAGCCCACUCCCAGUACAGAAUAUACUCAUGUAACAGACAAGCACAUGUACCCCCUGAAUCUAAGAUACAAUAGAAGCAAUAUCAGGCCAGGCGCAGUGGCUCAUGCUUGUAAUCCCAGCACUUUGGAGGCCGAGGCAGGCGGAUCACUUGAGGACAGGAGUUUGAGACCAGCCUGGUCAACAUGGCAAAGCCCUGUCUGUACUAAAAAUACAAAAAUUAGCUGGGCGUGGUGGCACACACCUGUAAUCCCAGCUACUUGGGAGGCUGAGGCAGGAGAAUCACUUGAACCUGGGAGGCAGAGGUUGUAGCGAGUGGAGAUCACGCCACUGCACUCCAGUCUGGGUGACAGAGCGAGACUCCAUUUCAAAAAAAAAAAAAGAAAAAAGAAACAACAUCAAUUCCUCUGGACACCAUUUAUUUGUGAAAAAAAUAGUUUGAACACUUAUCCCCAAAUCAUGUCAUUUUAGGAAGCUUGAUAACAGAGGUAGAGGUGGGGACUGCAAAGACCUGGGUGUGGGCCUGAAAAAGGAGGCUGGGUACCAUGUAGCAAUUGCCUUCAGGUGUUAGUGAGCUGAGUUUUUCCUCCUCCUUCCUCCCCUUUUUAUUCUCUUAGAUCUCUCUUCUUUUUCCCUUGAUUCCUCUCAAAGUGGUGGCUUGAGUGUGAACUGUUACACCAGAUUCUCUGGGUUCAAAUUCCAGCAUUGCCACCGAUUGUGUGAUCUCAAACAAGUUAUCUAGCUUUGCUGUGCCUUAGUUUCCCCAUUCAUAAAAUGAGGGAUAUGUGUCAUUACCUAACAAAGUUGUAGUGAUCAUUGAAGGAUUUAAUUUAGAACAGUGCCGGGCAUGCAUUUAAGCAUUGUACGAGUUAUUAACAUCACAAUUCCCUUCCACACCCUGCUUUCUUUUGUCAUUAUUUACUGUCCUGUGAUGAGCCCACUUAAAUGACUGCCUAAGCAUGAUUCUUGUUUUAUGAAUGCCGCAGUUGUUGCGGUUUGCUUAGUUGUGGUUCUAUGUUUGAGUUAACCAGAGUAACAUAAACCUCUGUGACUCAGGGGUGAGUUCUCAGCUGGACAAGUUAAUUCUUUGUGUUAGCCACCUUGGUAAAAAGGUCUGUCUCUCAAACGAACAAAAAACAAAACAAAAAAACAACCAAACAAGCAAACUUGAACUGGGAGAGCCUUUCUUGGCAUGUCUAGUAAAACACUCUUUCCAUCUUCACCACGAUGUCAAGAUGUCUAGAAGGCACCUCCUGUGGGGAGAAGUAGGUUUAUGGGGAGUAAGAAGCAGAGAGAAAAAGCAAGGAACCCAGAUAAAGUGUCUCUGAAGUUGUACCAACCUUUUUUUAGACUAGAUAUCUCAGAUGUUUAUCAUUUUGUUUCUUCUUAGAGUUUAAAAAAGAUAUUUCCUCCUUUGUCUAGUAUUAAUUCAUAUUUAUUUAAUAAUAAAAUUGAACAUUAGUUCCUAUGUUUAUUGACCACUUGAAUUUUUUCUUCUGCAAAUUGCCUAUUCACGUUCUUUACCCAUUUUCUUUUCUUUCUCUUUUUGAGAAGGAGUCUUUUUCUGUUGCCCAGGCUGGAGUACAGUGGCAUAAUCUCAGCUCAUUGCAACCUCCGCCUCCUGGGUUCAAGCAGUUCUCCUGCCUCAGUCUCCCAAGUAGCUGGGAUUACAGGCUUGUGCUACCAUGCCCAGCUAAUUUUUAGUAUUUUUAGUAGAGAUGGGUUUUCCCCAUGUUAGCUGGUUUCGAACUCCUGACCUCAGG
rnacentral:lncRNA from 10 species